GGGUUGUGAGGUUAAGCGACUAAGCGUACACGGUGGAUGCCCUGGCAGUCAGAGGCGAUGAAGGACGUGCUAAUCUGCGAUAAGCGCCGGUAAGGUGAUAUGAACCGUUAUAACCGGCGAUUUCCGAAUGGGGAAACCCAGUGUGACUCGUCACACUAUCAUUAACUGAAUCCAUAGGUUAAUGAGGCGAACCGGGGGAACUGAAACAUCUAAGUACCCCGAGGAAAAGAAAUCAACCGAGAUUCCCCCAGUAGCGGCGAGCGAACGGGGAGGAGCCCAGAGCCUGAAUCAGCAUGUGUGUUAGUGGAAGCGUCUGGAAAGGCGCGCGAUACAGGGUGACAGCCCCGUACACAAAAGCGCAUGUGUUGUGAGCUCGAUGAGUAGGGCGGGACACGUGGUAUCCUGUCUGAAUAUGGGGGGACCAUCCUCCAAGGCUAAAUACUCCUGACUGACCGAUAGUGAACCAGUACCGUGAGGGAAAGGCGAAAAGAACCCCGGCGAGGGGAGUGAAAAAGAACCUGAAACCGUGUACGUACAAGCAGUGGGAGCCCCACCACUAAGCCAGUGGUGAACUCCACAUACGCAUCCUUUGCUGAAGGUGCGGUUAACGGAGCGCAAGCGACGUUCAACCUCAAAAGAAGCAGAGGGGGCUUAGUGGUGGGGUGACUGCGUACCUUUUGUAUAAUGGGUCAGCGACUUAUAUUCUGUAGCAAGGUUAACCGCAUAGGGGAGCCGGAGGGAAACCGAGUCUUAAUUGGGCGUUAAGUUGCAGGGUAUAGACCCGAAACCCGGUGAUCUAGCCAUGGGCAGGUUGAAGGUUGGGUAACACUAACUGGAGGACCGAACCGACUAAUGUUGAAAAAUUAGCGGAUGACCUGUGGCUGGGGGUGAAAGGC
rnacentral:rRNA from 1 species